UUCUUCUUCAGAUAACAAACAAAAGCUAAGAACUAGAAAAUAUCAUGACUUUUCUCAGGAUGACUCAGGCAAAGCCAUCAAAGCUUGCCAUGUUAGCAUGUCACUCAGGCAUGCCUGUAGUGACUGUAGAACAUCUGGUGCAACCUUGGCUUAAAAGAUUAAAAACAUAUUAUAUAUUAUUCUUUAUACAUUUAAUAAAUUAUAUUAUAUUAUUGGAUGCUUAUCAAAAUUAUAGUUCACCAAACUGACAAAGAGUUGCUACUUUGGGACAAGAAAGAAGUGUUGUUUUGUCAAGGACUAUUUGCUAUCCUGGUAAUGAAGGAAUUGGAAUUCAUAUUGGGCACUGUGCAUGGCCAUGCUGAUGUACCACCUUUGACGCCUAUCAUGCGUCAUCCAUCAGUAACACCAAGAAAUGCACUGCGAUGCAGAGGUUCCACAGUCUGCAAACACUGGUUGCUGUCUUGGGCUCCUUGACCGCGUGGGAGUUGAAGGAAGUAGGUAACCUCCUGCCACUACAUCGCUGCUGGCUUUCAUUCUACUCUGAAGAAGCUCCU
rnacentral:lncRNA from 1 species